rnacentral:rRNA from 1 species
GACGAACGCUGGCGGCGUGCUUAACACAUGAAAGUCGAACGGAGUGGCGAACGGGUGUGUAACACGUGGGUGACCUGCCCUGCACUUCGGGAUAAGCCUGGGAAACUGGGUCUACUACCGGAUAGUGUGGGAUGGGCCCGCGGCCUAUCAGCUUGUUGGUGGGGUAAUGGCCUACCAAGGCGGCGACGGGUAGCCGGCCUGAGAGGGUGGACGGCCGCAUGGGGUCUGAGACACCGCCCAGGCUCCUACGGGGGGCAGCAGUGGGGAAUCUUGCACAAUUGGCGGAAGCCUGAUGCAGCGACGCCGCGUGGGGGAUGACGGCCUUCGGGUUGUCAGCUCCUUUCACCAUCGACGCGGUAGAUUGGGAAGAAGCACCGGCUAACUACGUGCCAGCAGCCGCGGUAAUUC